CAGCUUAAGGAAUGGUUCAGUUAAUUAUUCUUUUAUAUGUAUAUUAGAUAUUUUAUAUUUAAAUAAUUUUUAUUGCAGUAAUUAGUAUUAAUUUUUAAAAUUUAAUUUGAAUUAGGAAUUAAUUUUAGUACUGGCCUAACUUGUGCCAGCAGCUGCGGUUAUACAAGUAGUGCAAUUGAACUUUUUAUGGUUUAUAAUUAAUUUUUUUUUUGUUAAUUUUAAUUGACUGUUUAUAAGGUGAAAUUUAAAUUGUUAAUUAUUUAUUUAUGUAAUAAUGAUUGUUGUUAAAUUUUUAAGUUAAACUAGGAUUAGAUACCCUAUUAUUUUAAAUGUAAAUUUUUUAACCUGAUUAGUAUUAGAUUAUAACUUGAAAUUUAAGAGAUUUGGCGGUAUUUUAUUCUAUUCAGAGGAAUCUGUUCUGUAAAUGAUAAUCCACGAUUUUAUUUACCUUUAAUUAUUGGUUUGUAUAUCGUCGUGGUUGAAUAUUUUAUUGGAAUUUUAAUGUUCAUUUUGUUUUAUUUAAGGAUAAAUCAGAUCAAGGUGCAGCAUGUAAAGGUAGAAAUGGAUUACAAUAAUUAUAUUUAGAUGGUAUUUUUUUUUUAAUGGGAAAAUUAAAGUGGAUUUGAUAGUAAUUUUACUUAAAUUGGUUAAAUGACUUUGGCUCUAAAGUAUGCACAUAUCGCCCGUCGCUCUCAUUUAAGGUGGGAUAAGUCGUAACAUAGUAGAUGUACCGGAAGGUGUAUCUAGAAUUGC
rnacentral:ncRNA from 1 species